rnacentral:rRNA from 1 species
AAGCGCAUGUGUUGUGAGCUCGAUGAGUAGGGCGGGACACGUGGUAUCCUGUCUGAAUAUGGGGGGACCAUCCUCCAAGGCUAAAUACUCCUGACUGACCGAUAGUGAACCAGUACCGUGAGGGAAAGGCGAAAAGAACCCCGGCGAGGGGAGUGAAAAAGAACCUGAAACCGUGUACGUACAAGCAGUGGGAGCACCCUUCGGGGUGUGACUGCGUACCUUUUGUAUAAUGGGUCAGCGACUUAUAUUCUGUAGCAAGGUUAACCGAAUAGGGGAGCCGGAGGGAAACCGAGUCUUAAUUGGGCGUUAAGUUGCAGGGUAUAGACCCGAAACCCGGUGAUCUAGCCAUGGGCAGGUUGAAGGUUGGGUAACACUAACUGGAGGACCGAACCGACUAAUGUUGAAAAAUUAGCGGAUGACCUGUGGCUGGGGGUGAAAGGCCAAUCAAACCGGGAGAUAGCUGGUUCUCCCCGAAAGCUAUUUAGGUAGCGCCUCGUGAAUUCAUCUCCGGGGGUAGAGCACUGUUUCGGCUAGGGGGCCAUCCCGGCUUACCAACCCGAUGCAAACUGCGAAUACCGGAGAAUGUUAUCACGGGAGACACACGGCGGGUGCUAACGUCCGUCGUGAAGAGGGAAACAACCCAGACCGCCAGCUAAGGUCCCAAAGUCAUGGUUAAGUGGGAAACGAUGUGGGAAGGCCCAGACAGCCAGGAUGUUGGCUUAGAAGCAGCCAUCAUUUAAAGAAAGCGUAAUAGCUCACUGGUCGAGUCGGCCUGCGCGGAAGAUGUAACGGGGCUAAACCAUGCACCGAAGCUGCGGCAGCGACACUGUGUGUUGUUGGGUAGGGGAGCGUUCUGUAAGCCUGUGAAGGUGUGUCGUGAGGCAUGCUGGAGGUAUCAGAAGUGCGAAUGCUGACAUAAGUAACGAUAAAGCGGGUGAAAAGCCCGCUCGCCGGAAGACCAAGGGUUCCUGUCCAACGUUAAUCGGGGCAGGGUGAGUCGACCCCUAAGGCGAGGCCGAAAGGCGUAGUCGAUGGGAAACGGGUUAAUAUUCCCGUACUUGGUGUUACUGCGAAGGGGGGACGGAGAAGGCUAUGUUGGCCGGGCGACGGUUGUCCCGGUUUAAGCGUGUAGGUGUGUGUUCCAGGUAAAUCCGGUUCACUUUAACACUGAGGCGUGACGACGAGGCACUACGGUGCUGAAGCAACAAAUGCCCUGCUUCCAGGAAAAGCCUCUAAGCAUCAGGUAACAUCAAAUCGUACCCCAAACCGACACAGGUGGUCAGGUAGAGAAUACCAAGGCGCUUGAGAGAACUCGGGUGAAGGAACUAGGCAAAAUGGUGCCGUAACUUCGGGAGAAGGCACGCUGACACGUAGGUGAAGUGAUUUACUCAUGGAGCUGAAGUCAGUCGAAGAUACCAGCUGGCUGCAACUGUUUAUUAAAAACACAGCACUGUGCAAACACGAAAGUGGACGUAUACGGUGUGACGCCUGCCCGGUGCCGGAAGGUUAAUUGAUGGGGUCAGCGCAAGCGAAGCUCCUGAUCGAAGCCCCGGUAAACGGCGGCCGUAACUAUAACGGUCCUAAGGUAGCGAAAUUCCUUGUCGGGUAAGUUCCGACCUGCACGAAUGGCGUAAUGAUGGCCAGGCUGUCUCCACCCGAGACUCAGUGAAAUUGAACUCGCUGUGAAGAUGCAGUGUACCCGCGGCAAGACGGAAAGACCCCGUGAACCUUUACUAUAGCUUGACACUGAACAUUGAGCCUUGAUGUGUAGGAUAGGUGGG